AAUUACUUCAAGAGAUGGCUCUAGGUCAAGACGAGGACAUCGUUCCACCGCUAUCAGAGACCUACCGCUGUAAUUACUUUGGGAGUCCGUCUUAACCCUUGAUGCUUACCCUUCAAUUGUCAACCUCAGUAUGCCUAGACUCCCAGACCAAGCCCAUGCAUUUAUGUGAAGUUUUGUUAAGAUUUUGUCAUGCACUUUAAUUAUUUACUUAAGGUUAAAAUGUAUGUAUAUACCCCCUUUCUUUACCAAUGUUCGGAUA